GGGGCGGGAGAAGCCCCGGGGUCGAAAAGCCACGCCUCUUCCCCGGCCUAAGCCAAUCAGAGACGUGGAGCCUGGAGGCUGGAACGCCGGAAGCGGCGGGUGCCGGCGUCGGGGAGGCGAGACAAGAGGGGACGUGGGAGGUCCCGGGAGGAUGGCGGGCGCGUUGCCAUGGGAACAGCCCGGCGACGCCAGCAGGGGCUGGGAGGUGGCGGCAGUCUUCGCCCGCCGACAGGGUGUCGCGGGAGGGCUGGUGUCUCGGGGCCGGGACUGCGCUCCCUGCGGACGCCGGCGGGGCGAGUCGGCCGCGGGCCCCAGGGCCGAGCGCUUCACCUGCCUCCUGCGCACACAGCACCUUGCGGCGCGGACGGGCCGCCCUCCAGAAAGGGCCAGACGCAGACAGACAGGCAGACGACACCCAGCCACGGCCGUGCAGUUCAGCACCCGGUGGAAAACGCAGCUUGGAAUGCAGAAGCUUCCUGACACCCGAAAACCGGCUUGGCACACACAGUAGGAAGCCUCCUGAGACCGCAGCUCGCUGCCCUUAAUGCCUGCAACGUGGACCCUGGUUACAGCAGGAAAAGCUGAAGGAAGGAAAAAGAAGGCAAGAAGAAAGCUUCCAGCAGGCCCGUUCUGUCAGGAGGAGUCGGGCGAUGCUGACCGGAUGUUCUGGACUCGCUGUAAGUCUCAUUUUCAGCUCUCUGGCUGGCUGGCUGCACAGUUAUCAGAUCACGGCCUCUGAGUCAGUGUGGAGAAGACAUUGACCAUGAUGAGAACUCUUGAGUGGAGAGAGGGAGACAGACCAAAAUAUUUGUGUCUUUCUCUUUUGGCUCUAAGGCCAUCAGGUCACUUCCUUUUCCUGAAUGACAUUGACUCAACACUUGGGCAUGUGAAUACGCUACUGUUUUUAUCUCCCCUGAUUGUUUUGGUGCGUAAGUCAUGUCUCCACGCAACCUGAGAACAAGCGCUAUUGUCACUGA